GCGGGUGUAGUUCAAUGGCAGAACGGCAGCUUCCCAAGCUGCACACGGGGGUUCGAUUCCCCUCACCCGCUCCC
rnacentral:tRNA from 1 species